AGAUGAAGAACGUAGCGAAAUGCGAUAAGUAAUGUGAAUUGCAGAAUUCCGUGAAUCAUCGAAUCUUUGAACGCACAUUGCGCCCCCUGGUAUUCCGGGGGGCAUGCCUGUCCGAGCGUCAUUGCAACCCUCAAGCGCGGCUUGCGUGUUGGGCGCCGUCCCCCGUGGACGCGCCCGAAAGGCAGUGGCGGUACCGUGCUCCGGUGCCCGAGCGUAUGGGCUUAAAACCCGCUCUUGUGGCCCGGCCGGCGCUGGCCUCGACCCCCAACUUUACAAGGUUGACCUCGGAUCAGGUAGGGAUACCCGCUGAACUUAAGCAUAUCAAAGCGGAGGA
rnacentral:misc_RNA from 1 species